GACGAACGCUGGCGGCGUGCUUAACACAUGCCAGUCGAACGGAAAGGCCCGGCGUUUGUGGGGUGCUCGAGUGGCGAACGGGGGAGUAACACGUGAGUAACCUGCCCUUGAAUUUGGGAUAACUUCAGGAAACUGGGGCUCAUACCGGAUAGGAGCUACUGCUGCAUGGUGGGGGUUGGAAAGUUUCGGCGGUUGGGGAUGGACUCGCGGCUUAUCAGCUGGUUGGUGGGGUAGUGGCUGACCAGGGCUUUGACGGGUAGCCGGCCUGAGAGGGUGACCGGCGACCUUGGGACUGAGAUACGGACCAGACGCGUACGGUACGCAGCAGGGGGGAAUCUUGCACAAUGGGCGGAAGCCUGAUGCAGCAACCCCCCGUGCGGGAUGACGGCCUUCGAGUUGUAAACCGCUGUCGCCUGUGAUGAACCGUGAUUGACGGUAAUGGGUAAAGAAGCACCGGCUAACUACGUG
rnacentral:rRNA from 1 species